rnacentral:rRNA from 1 species
GGGGAAUUUUGGACAAUGGGGGAAACCCUGAUCCAGCCAUCCCGCGUGUGCGAUGAAGGCCUUCGGGUUGUAAAGCACUUUUGGCAGGAAAGAAACGUCGCGGGUUAAUACCCCGCGGAACUGACGGUACCUGCAGAAUAAGCACCGGCUAACUACGUGCCAGCAGCCGCGGUAAUACGUAGGGUGCGAGCGUUAAUCGGAAUUACUGGGCGUAAAGCGUGCGCAGGCGGUUUUGUAAGACAGGCGUGAAAUCCCCGGGCUCAACCUGGGAACUGCGCUUGUGACUGCAAGACUAGAGUACGGCAGAGGGGGGUGGAAUUCCACGUGUAGCAGUGAAAUGCGUAGAGAUGUGGAGGAACACCAAUGGCGAAGGCAGCCCCCUGGGUCGAUACUGACGCUCAUGCACGAAAGCGUGGGGAGCAAACA